UACAGAGGUCUCAAGCGUUGUUCGGAAUCACUGGGCGUAAAGCGUGCGUAGGCUGUUUCAUAAGUCGUGUGUGAAAGGCGCGGGCUCAACCCGCGGACGGCACAUGAUACUGCGAGACUAGAGUAAUGGAGGGGGAACCGGAAUUCUCGGUGUAGCAGUGAAAUGCGUAGAUAUCGAGAGGAACACUCGUGGCGAAGGCGGGUUCCUGGACAUUAACUGACGCUGAGGCACGAAGGCCAGGGGAGCGAAAGGG
rnacentral:rRNA from 1 species